UACGGGGGGGGCAAGCGUUGUUCGGAAUUACUGGGCGUAAAGGGCGCGUAGGCGGCCUUCUAAGUCGAACGUGAAAUCCCCGGGCUCAACCCGGGAACUGCGUCCGAUACUGGAAGGCUUGAAUCCGGGAGAGGGAUGCGGAAUUCCAGGUGUAGCGGUGAAAUGCGUAGAUAUCUGGAGGAACACCGGUGGCGAAGGCGGGUCUCUGGGCCGAUACUGACGCUGAGGAGCGAAAGCGUGGGGAGCAAACAGG
rnacentral:rRNA from 1 species